rnacentral:rRNA from 1 species
AUGGCUACGGCUAAGAGAUCCAGGGCGAAGGCCGCCAGGGCCAAGGCCGCGGAGGCAACCAAGACGGCGAGGGCGAACGCCCCUCUGGCCGCGGUCGCAGCUAACUGGGAGGCCGUCCAAGCCGCCAGGACAGCCGAAGCAAAAGCCCGAGAGGCCGAAGAAGCUGCCGAGACGGCCGCCGCCAAAGCCGUGGAGGCGGAACAAGCCGCCGAGACGGCCAGGGUCAUGGCCGAAGAAGCCGCCAAGGCGAGGGAAGUGGCGAGAGAGAUGGGCCGGCUAGAGGACCAGGAAUCCGAGUGGGCGCAGUGCGACGAGGAGCUGUUCGCCUCCAGGUUCCGCCGUUACUGGAACAAAUCCAGCGUCCGUCGCUCCCGCACCUUCCUUCAAACCACAUCUAUCCCCGCCAUGCGUUACACAUACCCUGCUCCUGAUGACAGCCCCAAGGCCAUGGAGACUCUGCAGAUGGUGUCGGUCAAGAUCGCGGCAAUCAAAGAGGGCUUACGCUGGCCACUGCAAGUGUUUGGUCUCGUUGCUGCUCGCGACAACUUGGAUCACAUGCGCAACAUUAUUUUUCACCGUUCGAGAAAUAACUGUCAAACCAUCACCGAAGAGGAUCCAUAUCUUGCAUUGACCGGCCCUAGCCGAGCUAUUGCCGUGUCGGUGGACCCUUCUUACGUUGAGGUUUCCCUGAAAGUCAAGGGCGCCACUAAAGCCGAGGAUAAAGACCUGAGCGAUCUUGUUUUGGUGCACAGAACCGGGCGUUUUCUGAGCGGUCUUUACCGUAGUAGGCUCAGCACAUUGGAACUUACCUUCGACCAUGUUACCCGCUCCGUAGAGGCUACAAUCUGUGUAAAACUAACUGAUGGGUCAUGGCCAACUAGUUUCCGGGGCGUGAUCACUGCCAGCAACGGUUCUCGUGAUGACCUGAAAGUCAAGUUACUUGAUUCCGGAGAUGACGGGUUGCCCGUAGAUGCCAAUGGCAGGAUCAAGCUCUCGCGUCAUGUGGUUUCUGUUGGACAUGUGGAGUCUCUGAACGUUUAUGUCGCUGCCAAUCGGGUUGAUGAGAAACAAGUUGUUGAGAGUGGCAGGGCAACUUUUAAGGCAAAGAGGUCUGGUGUUAGCCUCAGCGAGCUCUGCCUUGGCUUCUGUAGUAUGAAUGUUACCGUUGCUUGGUCCUGUUUCCGUCAUGAGUGGUAA